UGUAACACAAUGUCUGACCACUCUAAACAAUUAGCUGAAUUAAAACAAAUUCGCGAUCUUGCGAAAAAGCAAGACGUUUCCGCAUAUUCGGCGGAUGCAGAUACAACAGAUUUGGAUGAGAUUGAAGGUUCUAUUGCCGGCAUGGGAAGUUUUAAAUAUAAACGUCUCAGACGCCAGAAAUUUAAUCUGACCAUAACAACAAGAGAAAAGCGCAACUAGGAUCAACAUUUCUAUGGAAUCUAAAACACAUUAUAAGGCUAUAAGGUUGGGGAAGCCAAGUACCAAUAAACCUCCCCGAUUUACCUCGCAUUGAACUGCUCUACUAUAUUAAUUAUACAUUGCAUUUAAUAGCAUUUGAUUUACAAAAAACAAAACCUGAAAAGACUUAACAUCUAAAUAAAUAAAUUGCAGCAACAGCGAGCGAUAAUCAUAAA